rnacentral:rRNA from 1 species
GUGAACUCAUCUUCGGGGGUAGAGCACUGUUUCGACUAGGGGGUCAUCCCGACUUACCAACUCGAUGCAAACUACGAAUACCGAAGAAUGUUAUCACGGGAGAGUUGGGUAGGGGAGCGUUCUGUAAGCCUGUGAAGGUGUGCUGUGAGGCAUGCUGGAGGUAUCAGAAGUGCGAAUGCUGACAUAAGUAACGAUAAUGCGGGUGAAAAACCCGCACGCCGGAAGACCAAGGGUUCCUGUCCAACGUUAAUCGGGGCAGGGUGAGUCGACCCCUAAGGCGAGGCAGAAAUGCGUAGUCGAUGGGAAACGGGUUAAUAUUCCCGUACUGGUGAUAAUUGCGAUGGGGGGACGGAGAAGGCUAGGCUAUCCGGGCGACGGUUGUCCCGGUUUAAGGAUGUAGGCAGGUGAAUUAGGCAAAUCCGGUUCACUAUAUGCUGAGGUCCGAYGACGAGUCACUACGGUGAUGAAGUAGCUCAUGCCCCGCUUCCAGGAAAAGCCUCUAAGCUCUAGAUUAUCAUUAAUCGUACCCCAAACCGACACAGGUGGUCAGGUAGAGAAUACUCAGGCGCUUGAGAGAACUCGGGUGAAGGAACUAGGCAAAAUGGUGCCGUAACUUCGGGAGAAGGCACGCUGGCAUUAGGUGAAGUGAUUUACUCAUGGAGCUGAAGCCAGUCGCAGAUACCAGCUGGCUGCAACUGUUUAUUAAAAACACAGCACUGUGCAAACACGAAAGUGGACGUAUACGGUGUGACGCCUGCCCGGUGCUGGAAGGUUAAUUGAUGGGGUUAUCCGUAAGGAGAAGCUCUUGAUCGAAGCCCCAGUAAACGGCGGCCGUAACUAUAACGGUCCUAAGGUAGCGAAAUUCCUUGUCGGGUAAGUUCCGACCUGCACGAAUGGCGUAAUGAUGGCCAGGCUGUCUCCACCCGAGACUCAGUGAAAUUGAACUCGCUGUGAAGAUGCAGUGUACCCGCGGCAAGACGGAAAGACCCCGUGAACCUUUACUAUAGCUUGACACUGAACAUUGAGCCUUGAUGUGUAGGAUAGGUGGGAGGCUUYGAAGCGUGGACGCCAGUCUGCGUGGAGCCAACCUUGAAAUACCACCCUUUAAUGUUUGAUGUUCUAACGUUGCCCCAUUAUCUGGGGUGCGGACAGUGUCUGGUGGGUAGUUUGACUGGGGCGGUCUCCUCCCAAAGAGUAACGGAGGAGCACGAAGGUUGGCUAAGCAUGGUCGGACAUCAUGCGGUUAGUGCAAAGGCAUAAGCCAGCUUGACUGCGAGAGUGACGGCUCGAGCAGGUACGAAAGUAGGUCUUAGUGAUCCGGUGGUUCUGAAUGGAAGGGCCAUCGCUCAACGGAUAAAAGGUACUCCGGGGAUAACAGGCUGAUACCGCCCAAGAGUUCAUAUCGACGGCGGUGUUUGGCACCUCGAUGUCGGCUCAUCACAUCCUGGGGCUGAAGUAGGUCCCAAGGGUACGGCUGUUCGCCGUUUAAAGUGGUACGCGAGCUGGGUUUAGAACGUCGUGAGACAGUUCGGUCCCUAUCUGCCGUGGGCGUUGGAAGAUUGAAAGGGGCUGCUCCUAGUACGAGAGGACCGGAGUGGACGCACCACUGGUGUUCGGGUUGUCAUGCCAAUGGCAUUGCCCGGUAGCUAAGUGCGGAAGAGAUAACCGCUGAAAGCAUCUAAGCGGGAAACUUGCCUUGAGAUGAGUCUUCCCUGACUCUUUAAGRGUCCUAAAGGAACGUUUAAGACUAAGACGUUGAUAGGUUGGGUGUGUAAGCGUAGCGAUACGUUGAGCUAACCAAUACUAAUGAACCGUGAGGCUUAACCUG